rnacentral:lncRNA from 1 species
UGCAAAUUGACAUUUUGGGCUGCCUGUGGCAGAGGAGCCGCCGUCAGCCGCUGUCCAACGUUCACGCAGAGCGGGUGGCGGCGUGUGCGCCUCCGGGGCUGCUGAUCAGAAUAGGGACUUGGCGGCGGAUGGAAUCCGGGCAGAGCCAAGCCGGGAUAGAAGGCUGCGGGUGCACUGGCCGCGCGUGAAUGAGCCUCGGAUAUCAAAGCGGACUGCAGUACCUGUGCGGAAAUAGAGGACAGAAAGAGGCAGAUAAAACCAGGAUGGCUGUGAUGGGAGCAGUGAGGACGGUCCGGAUUGACCUUCACAUCCUUUCCUGAUGUUGAGGUGACCACAGAGCCAUCACCCCAGCAAACUAGAGCCGUGGUUCUCCAGAUGUGACCACUGAGUACUUGUUACAAAUGCACCUUCUCCAGCCCCACUCCAGACAGACUGAAUCAGAAACUCACAGGCUGGAUCCUGGGAAUCUGUGG